rnacentral:sRNA from 1 species
ACACGGGAAAGGAGGUGGUCCGAAGAAUGAGUUCUUACAGGACGCGUGAGGUGGCUGCCCGCUAGCAGCCCAUCAGCAUCACCCGGGGUGGAGCCACCCCGGGACGGCUGCUGGUGAAUCCCAAGCAGUCACCCGACCCGCAGGCGCUCCGGUCAUCACGUCCACCGGGAUGGGCCCCCUCAGGGGCCCGACGCCUGCGGGUCGCUGCAU